CUACGGAGGGUGCAAGCGUUAAUCGGAAUUACUGGGCGUAAAGCGUACGUAGGCGGUUAUUUAAGUCAGAUGUGAAAGCUCCGGGCUUAACUUGGGAACUGCAUUUGAAACUGGGUAACUAGAGUUUAGUAGAGGGGAGUGGAAUUUCAGGUGUAGCGGUGAAAUGCGUAGAGAUCUGAAGGAACACCAGUGGCGAAGGCGACUCCCUGGACUAAAACUGACGCUGAGGUACGAAAGCGUGGGUAGCAAACAGGAUUAGAAACCCUAGUAGUCC
rnacentral:rRNA from 1 species